AGGUUAUAAAAGACCUAGCAGCUUCCUCCUUGUUCUCUCCAGGUCAUGGGGAGAAACAAGCUGACUUGUGGUGAGGACAUUUAGAUAGCCUCAUGGAAAGUCCCACCUGGGAAGGAAGAGAAACCUCCAACACCCAUGUAAAUGAGCCAUUCUGCAAGCACAUCCCCAAGACCCAAUCAAGCCUUCAGAUGACUACAGCCCAGCUACAGCUUGACUUCAACUUUAUGAGAGACUCUCAGUUACCAAGAGAAUUCUCCUGGGAAGGAUGAUGUCAUGUCAGCUCAAGAAACAAGAGCAUGUUGGAAGCAGCACUGGGAAAUUGAUCAAGACUAUAUUCUCUUCUAUUGCAAGAGGGAACUUGGCCUGCUCUAAGCAGGAAGAACUGUGCACAAGGCUGCAGGUGCUUUGUGGGCAGAGAGGUGCCUGCCAGCUCAGAAGAGUGCUGCUGCCUUGGAGGACUUAAAAGAAAAAUGGCUGUCCCGGAAUACUGCACCCGAAUACUGCACCAUGUGGGAAGGUGAAUGUGUUUAGUCUGUUUUACUUUUAAAAUUCUACCUGAAUCCCCAUAGCCAGCCUAAGUCCCUCUUC
rnacentral:lncRNA from 1 species